UACUUAGGAAAGCCCUACCAUGCAAGUCGAGCGGUAGCACAGAGAGCUUGCUCUCGGGUGACGAGCGGCGGACGGGUGAGUAAUGUCUGGGAAACUGCCUGAUGGAGGGGGAUAACUACUGGAAACGGUAGCUAAUACCGCAUAACGUCGCAAGACCAAAGUGGGGGACCUUCGGGCCUCAUGCCAUCAGAUGUGCCCAGAUGGGAUUAGCUAGUAGGUGGGGUAACGACUUCCACCCUAGGGCGAUCCGAAUCCCAAGCUGGUCCGAGAGGAUGACCAGCCACACUGGAACUGAGACACGGUCCAGACUCCUACGGGAGGCAGCAGUGGGGAAUAUUGCACAAUGGGCGCAAGCCUGAUGCAGCCAUGCCGCGUGUGUGAAGAAGGCCUUCGGGGUGUAAAGCACUUUCAGCGGGGAGGAAGGCGAUAAGGGUUAAUAACCUUGUCGAUUGACGUUACCCGCAGAAGAAGCACCGGCUAACUCCGUGCCAGCAGCCGCGGUAAUACGGAGGGUGCAAGCGUUAAUCGGAAUUACUGGGCGUAAAGCGCACGCAGGCGGUCUGUCAAGUCGGAUGUGAAAUCCCCGGGCUCAACCUGGGAACUGCAUUCGAAACUGGCAGGCUAGAGUCUUGUAGAGGGGGGUAGAAUUCCAGGUGUAGCGGUGAAAUGCGUAGAGAUCUGGAGGAAUACCGGUGGCGAAGGCGGCCCCCUGGACAAAGACUGACGCUCAGGUGCGAAAGCGUGGGGAGCAAACAGGAUUAGAUACCCUGGUAGUCCACGCCGUAAACGAUGUCGAUUUGGAGGUUGUGCCCUUGAGGCGUGGCUUCCGGAGCUAACGCGUUAAAUCGACCGCCUGGGGAGUACGGCCGCAAGGUUAAAACUCAAAUGAAUUGACGGGGGCCCGCACAAGCGGUGGAGCAUGUGGUUUAAUUCGAUGCAACGCGAAGAACCUUACCUGGUCUUGACAUCCACAGAACUUUCCAGAGAUGGAUUGGUGCCUUCGGGAACUGUGAGACAGGUGCUGCAUGGCUGUCGUCAGCUCGUGUUGUGAAAUGUUGGGUUAAGUCCCGCAACGAGCGCAACCCUUAUCCCUUGUUGCCAGCGGUUCGGCCGGGAACUCAAAGGAGACUGCCAGUGAUAAACUGGAGGAAGGUGGGGAUGACGGUCAAGUCAUCAUGGCCCUUACGACCAGGGCUUAACCACACGUGCUACAAUGGCAAAUACAAAGUAGAAAGCGACCUCGCGAGAGCAAGCGGACCUCAUAAAGUAUGUCGUAGUCCGGAUUGGAGUCUGCAACUCGACUCCAUGAAGUCGGAAUCGCUAGUAAUCGUAGAUCAGAAUGCUACGGUGAAUACGUUCCCGGGCCUUGUACACACCGCCCGUCACACCAUGGGAGUGGGUUGCAAAAGAAGUAGGUAGCUUAACCUUCGGGAGGGCGCUACCACCUUUUGUUUAAACG
rnacentral:rRNA from 1 species